rnacentral:lncRNA from 1 species
CAGUCAUCUACUGGGAGGAAGAUAAGCAAGUAUGAGAAAAUACUGCUGGAAAUUAAAAAAAAAGGAAUGUUGUUUAGGUGACAAAAUUGAAAGAGAGUUGAAAACUGAUGGUAAAAAGUGCAGUAGAAUCCCAGCUCUGUCAAGAAAGA